CGCUGGCGGCGUGCCUAAUGCAUGCAAGUCGAGCGGGCUACGAUCUUCGGAUUGUAGCUUAGCGGCGAACGGGUGAGUAACACGUAGGUAAUCUACCCUUCAGAGGAGGACAACCUCAGGAAACUGAGGCUAAACCUUCAUACGUUCACUGGUAGGGAUACUGGUGAAGAAAGAGUUACCUUAGUGGUAGCUGCUGAAGGAUGAGCCUGCGGCCCAUCAGGUAGUUGGUGAGGUAACGGCUCACCAAGCCGAAGACGGGUAACCGGUCUGAGAGGAUGUCCGGUCACACUGGGACUGAGACACGGCCCAGA
rnacentral:rRNA from 1 species